AGUGAACGCUGGCGGUAGGCCUAACACAUGCAAGUCGAACGGCAGCACAGUAAGAGCUUGCUCUUACGGGUGGCGAGUGGCGGACGGGUGAGGAAUACAUCGGAAUCUACUUUUUCGUGGGGGAUAACGUAGGGAAACUUACGCUAAUACCGCAUACGACCUACGGGUGAAAGUAGGGGAUCUUCGGACCUUGCGCGAUUGAAUGAGCCGAUGUCGGAUUAGCUAGUUGGCGGGGUAAAGGCCCACCAAGGCGACGAUCCGUAGCUGGUCUGAGAGGAUGGAACGGCAAACUGGAACCGGGAACAGGGUCAGGACUCCAAGGGAGGCCGCAGGGGGGGAUAAUUGAAAAUGGGCGCAAGGCCGGACCCGACAUUACGCGGGGGGUAAGAAAGCCCUCGGGUUGGAAAGGCCUUUUUGUUGGGAAAGAAAAGCAGCAGGUUAAUACCCCGCUGUUCUGACGGUACCCAAAGAAUAAGCACCGGCUAACUUCGUG
rnacentral:rRNA from 1 species